GACGAACGCUGGCGGCGUGCCUAAUACAUGCAAGUUGAGCGAUGAAGAUUGGUGCUUGCACCAAUUUGAAGAGCAGCGAACGGGUGAGUAACGCGUGGGGAAUCUGCCUUUGAGCGGGGGACAACAUUUGGAAACGAAUGCUAAUACCGCAUAACAACUUUAAACAUAAGUUUUAAGUUUGAAAGAUGCAAUUGCAUCACUCAAAGAUGAUCCCGCGUUGUAUUAGCUAGUUGGUGAGGUAAAGGCUCACCAAGGCGAUGAUACAUAGCCGACCUGAGAGGGUGAUCGGCCACAUUGGGACUGAGACACGGCCCAAACUCCUACGGGAGGCAGCAGUAGGGAAUCUUCGGCAAUGGACGAAAGUCUGACCGAGCAACGCCGUGUGAGUGAAGAAGGGUUUCGGAUCGUAAAACUCUGUUGGUAGAGAAGAACGUUGGUGAGAGUGGAAAGCUCAUCAAGUGACGGUAACUACCCAGAAAGGGACGGCUAACUACGUG
rnacentral:rRNA from 1 species